rnacentral:rRNA from 1 species
UACAGAGGGUGCAAGCGUUAAUCGGAUUUAUUGGGCUUAAAGGGCGCGUAGGCGGGCAGGCAAGUCGAAGGUGAAAUCCCACGGCUCAACCGUGGAAGUGCCCCCGAUACUGCCUGUCUCGAGGGAGAUAGGGGCGUGCGGAACUUCCGGUGGAGCGGUGAAAUGCGUAGAUAUCGGAAGGAACACCGGUGGCGAAAGCGGCGCGCUGGAUCUCUUCUGACGCUGAUGCGCGAAAGCCAGGGGAGCAAACGGG